rnacentral:lncRNA from 1 species
UCAUCACAAAGAGGGAGAUUGUCAAUCCUAUGAUUGAUUUUGAUGUUUAUAAAAUGUUGAGAAAUUAUGAUGCAAAUCAUGUAUUUCAAGAGUGGAUGUAGGAUUUCUUAAGCAGUCUAAAUAAAGAAAUCAUCUUUAGAAGAAAUCCUCUUAAGUUGCCAAGCCAAAGCAUUUCAAAGAAUGAAAUUUCAUAAAUCUAACUCAGAGAAGUCGACCCCA